UGUGUGUGUGUGUGUGUGUGUGUGUGUGUGUGUGUGUGUGUGUGUGUGUGUGUUCCACACACACACACACACACACACACACACACACACACACACACACACACACACACACACAGUACUUAAUUAUUGAUGUUAAUAGACAAACAAUAUGUUACUAUAAACUCUUGACGUUCAUCUAUCUGCACUAAAUGUUUGCAUAAAC